rnacentral:lncRNA from 1 species
GGGCUGACAUAGAUCAUAAAAUAUUUCCAUACAUCAAAUAUAAUUGACCUUUUGCAUAUAGUAUUAGAAAAAAAAGACUAAAAAACUUAACUUUGACCACUGAACCAUGAAAAUGAGGUCAAGGUCAGAUGACACCUGCCAGCUAGACAUGUACACCUUACAAUCAUUCCAUACAUCAAAUAUAGUAGACCUAUUGCAUACAGUAUGAGAAAAACAAACCAAAACACAAAAACUUAACUAUAACCACUGAACCAUGAAAAUGAGGUCAUGGUCAGAUGACACCUGCCAGUUGGACAUGUACACCUUACAGUCCUUCCAUACACCAAAU